UACGUAGGGGGCAAGCGUUGUCCGGAAUCAUUGGGCGUAAAGAGCGUGUAGGCGGCCAGAUAAGUCCGCUGUGAAAACUCGAGGCUCAACUUCGAGCUGUCGGUGGAAACUAUUUGGCUAGAGUCCGGAAGAGGAGAGUGGAAUUCCUGGUGUAGCGGUGAAAUGCGCAGAUAUCAGGAAGAACACCCGUGGCGAAGGCGGCUCUCUGGUACGGACUGACGCUGAGACGCGAAAGCGUGGGGAGCGAACAGG
rnacentral:rRNA from 1 species